ACGUGGAUAAAUUUGAUUGCUUGCAACCACAUUAAAAAAUGCUAAAAAA
rnacentral:ncRNA from 1 species